rnacentral:lncRNA from 1 species
ACAAUCCAUAUAUGGAGGUCCUUUGUUGGGCCGAACAGACCAUAAUGCAGACUCUUGAUUUUGAGAUAUUAGAGUAAACCAAUACAAAGAGCAUAUUUUGCCUCACCAAAUUUGCAAACCGAUCAAAAGACGGCAGACGGGGUAGUGUAACAAUUGCCAAAGGCAGGGCUUGAGCGAUUUGCAAUUCUUGUGCUUAGUCAAAAUUGUUUGUACUUUAACAUGAGUGAUUACGGGUGGUUCCUUGAUUCUGGAAAAAACAAAUAGCAAUCAUCAAAGCUCCCAUGCUGU